rnacentral:rRNA from 1 species
AGUGAACGCUGGCGGUAGGCCUAACACAUGCAAGUCGAACGGCAGCACAGUAAGAGCUUGCUCUUACGGGUGGCGAGUGGCGGACGGGUGAGGAAUAUAUCGGAAUCUACUUUUUCGUGGGGGAUAACGUAGGGAAACUUACGCUAAUACCGCAUACGACCUACGGGUGAAAGCAGGGGAUCUUCGGACCUUGCGCGAUUGAAUGAGCCGAUGUCGGAUUAGCUAGUUGGCGGGGUAAAGGCCCACCAAGGCGACGAUCCGUAGCUGGUCUGAGAGGAUGAUCGGCCACACUGGAACUGAGACACGGUCCAGACUCCUACGGGAGGCAGCAGUGGGGAAUAUUGGACAAUGGGCGCAAGCCUGAUCCAGCCAUACCGCGUGGGUGAAGAAGGCCUUCGGGUUGUAAAGCCCUUUUGUUGGGAAAGAAAAGCAGCAGGUUAAUACCCCGCUGUUCUGACGGUACCCAAAGAAUAAGCACCGGCUAACUUCGUG